rnacentral:rRNA from 1 species
GGGCCCGCACAAGCGGUGGAGCAUGUGGUUUAAUUCGAUGCAACGCGAAAAACCUUACCAGGCCUUGACAUCCUGAGAACUUUCUAGAGAUAGAUUGGUGCCUUCGGGAACUCAGUGACAGGUGUUGCAUGGCUGUCGUCAGCUCGUGUCGUGAGAUGUUGGGUUAAGUCCCGUAACGAGCGCAACCCUUAUCCUUAUUUGCCAGCACUUCGGGUGGGAACUCUAAGGAGACUGCCGGUGACAAACCGGAGGAAGGAGAGGAUGAUGUCAAGUCAUCAUGGCCCUUACGGCCUGGGCUACACACGUGCUACAAUGGAAAGUACAGAGGGCCGCAAACCCGCGAGGGGGAGCUAAUCCCAAAAAACUUUUCGUAGUCCGGAUCGGAGUCUGCAACUCGACUCCGUGAAGUCGGAAUCGCUAGUAA